rnacentral:rRNA from 1 species
GACGAACGCUGGCGGCGUGCUUAACACAUGCAAGUCGAACGAGUGGCGAACGGGUGAGUAAUACGUGAGUAACCUGCCCUCUUUUUGGGAUAAGCCUUGGAAACGGGGUCUAAUACCGAAUAAAGGGGGAUGGGCUCGCGGCCUAUCAGCUUGUUGGUGGGGUGAUGGCCUACCAAGGCGGUGACGGGUAGCCGGCCUGAGAGGGUGAGCGGCCACAUUGGGACUGAGAUACGGCCCAGACUCCUACGGGAGGCAGCAGUGGGGGGUAUUGCACAAUGGGCGAAAGCCUGAUGCAGCGACGCCGCGUGGGGGAUGAAGGCCUUCGGGUUGUAAACUUCUUUUGCUCUGAACAGGGGUUGAUUAGCGCCGGCUAACUACGUGCCAGCAGCCGCGGUAAUUC